AACGACUCUCGGCAACGGAUAUCUCGGCUCUCGCAUCGAUGAAGAACGCAGCGAAAUGCGAUACUUGGUGUGAAUUGCAGGAUCCCGCGAACCAUCGAGUCUUUGAACGCAAGUUGCGCCUGAAGCCUUUUGGCCGAGGGCACGUCUGCCUGGGUGUCACUC
rnacentral:rRNA from 1 species